UAAGAUCCCUUGGCGGCUGGUGAACUGUUCCUUGUCAUUCUUCCUGUUUUCUUUCCAAGUUCAUGAGAAGUCUAUACUUCUGGCUGCUCUACCUGUAUUAUUGCUUCUACAUGAAAUCCCUUUUAUGGCAACUUGGUUUUUGCUUGUGUCAACUUUUAGCAUGUUGCCCCUGUUGCUGAAGGAUGGACUGCUCCUUCCUUACACUGUUACCUCUUUGGCCUUCCUCCUCAUCACAACAACAUUUCUGUCAGCCUUUGAAAAAGUAUCAUUGGAGGAUCUGCAACUCGAACAAUUUUCUCAGGGAGUGAGGAAGUGCAUUCCACACUUUAUAAUUCCACCGUGUCUUGCAAAACUUGCAGUGAGUAAUGAUUCAGAGGUGCUGGUGUUGGACUGG